UACGUAGGGUGCGAGCGUUGUUCGGAAUUAUUGGGCGUAAAGGGCUCGUAAGCGGUCUGUCACGUCGGGAGUGAAAACUCGGGGCUUAACUCCGAGCCUGCUUCUGAUACGGGCAGACUAGAGGUAUGCAGGGGAGAACGGAAUUCCUGGUGUAGCGGUGAAAUGCGCAGAUAUCAGGAGGAACACCGGUGGCGAAGGCGGUUCUCUGGGCAUUACCUGACGCUGAGGAGCGAAAGUGUGGGGGAGCGAACAGG
rnacentral:rRNA from 1 species